UACGUAGGGACCAAGCGUUGUUCGGAUUUACUGGGCGUAAAGGGCGCGUAGGCGGCCUGGCAAGUGACGGGUGAAAGCCCUCGGCUUAACCGAGGAACUGCCUGUCAGACUGUUAGGCUUGAGACCGGGAGAGGUGAGUGGAAUUCCCAGUGUAGCGGUGAAAUGCGUAGAUAUUGGGAGGAACACCAGUGGCGAAGGCGGCUCACUGGACCGGUACUGACGCUGAGGCGCGAAAGCGUGGGGGAGCAAACAGGG
rnacentral:rRNA from 1 species